rnacentral:rRNA from 1 species
AGUGAACGCUGGCGGUAGGCCUAACACAUGCAAGUCGAACGGCAGCACAGUAAGAGCUUGCUCUUACGGGUGGCGAGUGGCGGACGGGUGAGGAAUACAUCGGAAUCUACUUUUUCGUGGGGGAUAACGUAGGGAAACUUACGCUAAUACCGCAUACGACCUACGGGUGAAAGCAGGGGAUCUUCGGACCUUGCGCGAUUGAAUGAGCCGAUGUCGGAUUAGCUAGUUGGCGUGGUAAAGGCUCACCAAGGCGACGAUGCGUAGCUGGUCUGAGAGGAUGAUCAGCCACACUGGAACUGAGACACGGUCCAGACUCCUACGGGAGGCAGCAGUAGGGAAUAUUGGACAAUGGGCGCAAGCCUGAUCCAGCCAUACCGCGUGAGUGAAGAAGGCCUUCGGGUUGUAAAGCCCUUUUGUUAGGAAAGAAAAGCAGCAGGUUAAUACCCCGCUGUUCUGACGGUACCCAAAGAAUAAGCACCGGCUAACUUCGUG